GGACAUUCCACCAGUAAGGACCAUCACUGGAGAGAUGAAUUAUAUGGCGAGUCAUACUGGGUGAAAGGUCGGGAAUGUCCUGGUGCUUUAAGGAGGCCGCCCUGCCGCUAUUCAGACGGGGCAGUCAAACAUUCCAGCUGUCCUGACGCACCCGGCCGGCCCUGCAGGCCAAUCAGCCCUGAGCGUGGGUGGGCAGAUGCGCGCUGAAGAAAAAUCCAUGUGAACAACUGAUUUAGUCAAAAUUCUAAAUGUUUUUUAUCCUCCAAAAAUGGGGGAAUAAGCCAACAAGAAAACUUUGAGACACCAGAACACCAGACCAAAUGACUCUCCCACAGAGCUUCUUUUUGCAGGGUGUUGGAGCCGACCACAGGCAGCUGUCACUCACUGCAGCUCAAAACCUCUGUGCUUAUUACAUGAAGAGGUCGCCCUCUUGUGGUGAUGUUGGAAAGAGGAAACCCGUAACCAUGAGAGGGUUUGACUCCUGCAUGGGAGGUGGA